rnacentral:rRNA from 1 species
AGAGUUUGAUCAUGGCUCAGAACGAACGCUGGCGGCAUGCCUAACACAUGCAAGUCGAACGAAGGCUUCGGCCUUAGUGGCGCACGGGUGCGUAACGCGUGGGGAUCUGCCCUUUGCUUCGGAAUAACAGUUAGAAAUGACUGCUAAUACCGGAUGAUGUCGUAAGACCAAAGAUUUAUCGGCAAAGGAUGAACCCGCGUAGGAUUAGCUAGUUGGUGGGGUAAAGGCCUACCAAGGCGACGAUCCUUAGCUGGUCUGAGAGGAUGAUCAGCCACACUGGGACUGAGACACGGCCCAGACUCCUACGGGAGGCAGCAGUGGGGAAUAUUGGACAAUGGGCGAAAGCCUGAUCCAGCAAUGCCGCGUGAGUGAUGAAGGCCUUCGGGUUGUAAAGCUCUUUUACCAGGGAUGAUAAUGACAGUACCUGGAGAAUAAGCUCCGGCUAACUCCGUGCCAGCAGCCGCGGUAAUACGGAGGGAGCUAGCGUUGUUCGGAAUUACUGGGCGUAAAGCGCACGUAGGCGGCGACUCAAGUCAGAGGUGAAAGCCCGGGGCUCAACCCCGGAACUGCCUUUGAAACUAGGUUGCUAGAAUCUUGGAGAGGUCAGUGGAAUUCCGAGUGUAGAGGUGAAAUUCGUAGAUAUUCGGAAGAACACCAGUGGCGAAGGCGACUGACUGGACAAGUAUUGACGCUGAGGUGC